AGUCUUCUUCAGCAGGGUUUUUUAAAGGGGGUGUAUAGGUAGAAUUUGCAGAGGAGAAUGAAGGAGAGUUUAGGAGUUCGGUGAAUUUUGCAGAAGAGAAUGAAGGAGAGUUUAGGAGUUCGGAUAAGCAAUGGCACAGUAACAAAAAUGAAAGGUUGAAGGAUAGUGAGAAAUGAUAAAACUACUGCAUAUUAUAAGUCACGUUAUCCUACCAAAUGUCUUGUUAUGGCGAGACAUAC